CUCAGAGGGCGCAGAAUCUCAGCUUUCGCCUUUGUUAAAGGAGGAUGGGACGUUUCGGAAGCGAGAGCCGUCGUUUGCGGAGCUGGAGAAGAGACUCAGCGAUUUCUCUCUGCAAAGUGCCCUGCUGCAGGAGGUGCUGCUGGGAUUCAAAGAGACGCUGCAACGGGAGCUGGGGAGCGACACAGG